AUUGAACGCUGGCGGCAUGCCUUACACAUGCAAGUCGAACGGUAACGGGCCUUCGGGUGCCGACGAGUGGCGAACGGGUGAGUAAUACAUCGGAACGUGCCCGAUCGUGGGGGAUAACGAGGCGAAAGCUUUGCUAAUACCGCAUACGAUCUACGGAUGAAAGCAGGGGACCGCAAGGCCUUGCGCGGACGGAGCGGCCGAUGGCAGAUUAGGUAGUUGGUGGGAUAAAAGCUUACCAAGCCGACGAUCUGUAGCUGGUCUGAGAGGAUGAUCAGCCACACUGGGACUGAGACACGGCCCAGACUCCUACGGGAGGCAGCAGUGGGGAAUUUUGGACAAGGGGCGCAAGCCUGAUCCAGCCAUGCCGCGUGAAGGAUGAAGGCCUUCGGGUUGGAAACGGCUUUUGUACGGAACGAAAAGCCUUCUUUAAAUACAGGAGGGUCAUGACGGUACCGUAAGAAUAAGCACCGGCUAACUACG
rnacentral:rRNA from 1 species